rnacentral:misc_RNA from 1 species
AACCUAGCACACCUGCGGUGUGUACCUGCGGAAGGAUCAUUACUGAGUGAGGGCCUUCGGGCUCGACCUCCAACCCUUUGUGAACACAACUUGUUGCUUCGGGGGCGACCCUGCCGUUUCGACGGCGAGCGCCCCCGGAGGCCUUCAAACACUGCAUCUUUGCGUCGGAGUUUAAGUAAAUUAAACAAAACUUUUAGCAAUGGAUCU